rnacentral:piRNA from 2 species
UUGGUCCGAGAGUAGUGGUGUUU